rnacentral:lncRNA from 1 species
GCAGCGCCGGGGGCUGAGGAAAGGUGGGUGGCGAAGCGCCGCCGGGCGCUUGGUGGCCGCUGCCGCCGCCACUGCAGCUGUGCACGCCCGCCUCUCGGAGGAAACUUGAAGCCAGCAGUACAGGCAGGGCUGGAGGCCGAGCGGAGCCAUCCGACCUUGGGACUAGGGAAACGUGGACUUGGUGGGCUAUUCUGCGCUGAAGAGGCAGCAACGAGGGCUCGGUGGUAUUGGUGUUGGUCCUAGUGGAAUUGUCAAGAGGAUGCUUUUGGAGUGGCCCAGCAUCUUGGAAGUUCACCAUGCUUUGCAGGAGAUUCCUGACGCUGCAGUGAAAGAGGUCCAAUCAUUCCAGAUAGAACUUCAGUUUCAGACAAGUCAUCAAAUCCAGAAAGCAAGGAAAAAUACCCUGAAAGACGACUGGCAAAUCUCGGUGAAAGAGUAGACGCACCUCAUGGAUUGGAGUGAAUCUUAGAGCACCUGGUACCUUGCACACGACCUGAUGCCUGGAGGUACAGCAGCCAUCUUGUGACCAUAAGGAGGAAAUCAACGCAUUAAGAAGGGAAAAGCUAAGAACAUACAGAGAGCAAGGACCACUGACAACAUGAUCAAGCCACUCUACCAGGCCUUAACUUCCUAUUCCCUGACUUCUUAUUGAAAGAGACAAUAAAACUUCUCAUUUGUUG